CAGAAGCUGUCCUAUUAACCUAGUCUCUGCACCUGCUUUAAGUCUUUUGCGUCAAGCAGAAGCACCAGUGGGAAUGUUUAUGUUGACACAAGGAGCGACAGGCAUUUCUGACAGGCACAUACUAAGACCUCAGAGCAGUUUUUUUUCAAGCUCAAGGGGAGCAAUAUUUUCAGAAGCUUCCUGAUAUAUCCUGGAAACUGGCAUGGCCAAUUGAUAUUUUUUGUUUUUCAUUUUUUUUGCCUAGGCUGAUCGAUGCUUCACCAUUUCCCAUGAGCACCUGCUUUCUUCUCCCAUAUACUCUGAAUGAUUCAUAGAGUCUUCCUGACGAUUCCAACCACAGAAGUACUUUCUGUCUAAAGCAUUAAGCCUGAAAAUCCAUAACUCACAGGGUCCUCGGAACAAUUGGGAGAAUAAGAGGCACUGAAAGUGAUACCCGGAGCUGGAAGUGGCCACAACAAGACUUGGAGAGCAGCAUCUUUCUCCUUGAUGAGCAGAAACACAGAUUAUUGCAACAUCUAUUUUGUGGCUGUGGACUUAUCUCUUCUUGGAACUCCUCCUGGACUGUGAGCUUCAGAUUCAGGACUGGGCACCAGAAGACUUUGCCGGUGGUCCAUGACUAAGACUCUGUGCUCCCAGUGCAGGGGCCCAGCUUUGAUCACUGGUCAGGAAACUAGAUCCCGCAUGCCCCAGCUAAGACCCAAUGCAGCCAAAUAAAUAAAUAAACUUUUUUUAAAAAGGAUAUCACAGAAAAAUGCAAAGGAGUAAAAAAGAAUAUGUAGGUAUGCAUACAGUAGGGAUAUAAAAA